rfam:Triticum aestivum genome assembly, contig: Triticum_aestivum_CS42_TGACv1_scaffold_501181_6BL
UAUGGACUUCAUUCGUCCGGAAAUACUUAUCAUCAAAAAAAAAGGAGAUGUAUCUAAACGUAUUUUAGUUUUAGAUACAUCUUUUUUAUCCAUUUUGAUGACAAGUAUUUUCAUACGGCGGGAGUAUUUA